UGCAAGUCGAGCGCACCUUCGGGUGAGCGGCGGACGGGUUAGUAACGCGUGGGAACGUACCCUUUUCUAAGGAAUAGCCACUGGAAACGGUGAGUAAUACCUUAUACGCCCUUCGGGGGAAAGAUUUAUCGGAGAAGGAUCGGCCCGCGUUAGAUUAGAUAGUUGGUGGGGUAACGGCCUACCAAGUCUACGAUCUAUAGCUGGUUUUAGAGGAUGAUCAGCAACACUGGGACUGAGACACGGCCCAGACUCCUACGGGAGGCAGCAGUGGGGAAUCUUGGACAAUGGGCGCAAGCCUGAUCCAGCCAUGCCGCGUGAGUGAUGAAGGCCUUAGGGUCGUAAAGCUCUUUCGCUGGGGAUGAUAAUGACAGUACCCAGUAAAGAAACCCCGGCUAACUCCGUGCCAGCAGCCGCGGUAAUACGGAGGGGGUUAGCGUUGUUCGGAAUUACUGGGCGUAAAGCGCGCGUAGGCGGAUUGGAAAGUUGGGGGUGAAAUCCCGGGGCUCAACCUCGGAACUGCCUCCAAAACUAUCAGUCUAGAGUUCGAGAGAGGUGAGUGGAAUUCCGAGUGUAGAGGUGAAAUUCGUAGAUAUUCGGAGGAACACCAGUGGCGAAGGCGGUUCACUGGCUCGAUACUGACGCUGAGGUGCGAAAGUGUGGGGAGCAAACAGGAUUAGAUACCCUGAUAGUCCACACCGUAAACGAUGAAUGCCAGUCGUCAGCAAGCAUGCUUGUUGGUGACACACCUAACGCAUUAAGCAUUCCGCAUGAGGAGUACGGUCGCAAGAUUAUAACUCAAGAGGAAUUGACGGGGGCUCGCACACGCGGCUGGAGCAUGUGUUUAAUUCGAAGCAACGCGCAGAAUCUUACCAACCCUUGACAUCCUGUGCUACAUCCAGAGAUGGAUGGAUUCCCUUCGGAGAACGCAGUGACAGGUGCUGCAUGCCUGUCGUCAGCUCGUGUCGUGAUGAUGUCGUUAAGUCCGGCAACGAGCGCAACCCACAUCUUCAGUCGCCAGCAGUCGGCUGGGCACUCUGAGAACCUGACCGUGAUAGCGGUAGUACGUGGUGAUGACGUCAGUCUGCAAGUCCUGACGGAUGGGCUAACACAGUGCUACAUGGCAGUGACAAUGUCUAAUUCCAGAACUUUUCAGUCGUAUGGUUUCCUGCAACUCGAGAACAUGAAAUCGGAAUCGCUAGGUC
rnacentral:rRNA from 1 species